rnacentral:rRNA from 1 species
GAUGAACGCUGGCGGCGUGCUUAACACAUGCAAGUCGAACGAAGCACUUUAUUUGAUUUCCUUCGGGACUGAUUAUUUUGUGACUGAGUGGCGGACGGGUGAGUAACGCGUGGGUAACCUGCCUUGUACAGGGGGAUAACAGUUGGAAACGGCUGCUAAUACCGCAUAAGCGCACGGCAUCGCAUGAUGCAGUGUGAAAAACUCCGGUGGUAUAAGAUGGACCCGCGUUGGAUUAGCUAGUUGGUGAGGUAACGGCCCACCAAGGCGACGAUCCAUAGCCGACAUGAGAGGGUGACCGGCCACAUUGGGACUGAGACACGGCCCAAACUCCUACGGGAGGCAGCAGUGGGGAAUAUUGAACAAUGGGCGAAAGCCUGAUGCAGCGACGCCGCGUGAGCGAAGAAGUAUUUCGGUAUGUAAAGCUCUAUCAGCAGGGAAGAUAAUGACGGUACCUGACUAAGAAGCACCGGCUAAAUACGUG